rnacentral:rRNA from 1 species
GAUGAACGCUAGCUACAGGCUUAACACAUGCAAGUCGAGGGGCAGCGGGAUUGAAGCUUGCUUCAAUUGCCGGCGACCGGCGCACGGGUGAGUAACGCGUAUCCAACCUUCCGUACACUCAGGGAUAGCCUUUCGAAAGAAAGAUUAAUACCUGAUGGUAUGAUGAGAUUGCAUGAUAGCAUCAUUAAAGAUUUAUCGGUGUACGAUGGGGAUGCGUUCCAUUAGGUAGUAGGCGGGGUAACGGCCCACCUAGCCUACGAUGGAUAGGGGUUCUGAGAGGAAGGCCCCCCACAUUGGAACUGAGACACGGUCCAAACUCCUACGGGAGGCAGCAGUGAGGAAUAUUGGUCAAUGGACGAGAGUCUGAACCAGCCAAGUAGCGUGAAGGAUGAAGGUCUUACGGAUUGUAAACUUCUUUUAUAAGGGAAUAAACCCUCCACGUGUGGGAGCUUGUAUGUACCUUAUGAAUAAGCAUCGGCUAACUCCGUGCCAGCAG